UGUAUGUGAAGACUCAAACGGUAAAAUUUUAACAUUUCACUUAACACUAACCAUGUAGAUCUGCCUGCUUCUGCAGUCAGGAAGAUGAUUUUCAUGCUGAAGACACUUUGCAUUAGCAGCUCAUGCUUCAGUGCUCUGGGAGAGUUUAUAGCUCUGUCAGUUUAACACUUCAUGACUGAGAGCUGAUCUACAUGAUCACACAUCAAAAAGCCAUCAUGACUUUAAUCAGCAUCUUCAUCUGGAUGAUCAUCACCUGCACCCCGGUCUCUUUAGGGCGGGUUGUAUUGACUCAGUCUGGAGAUCAGACAGUGCAGGCUGGUAAAACUGUCUCUAUUACCUGUAAACAUGAUCCAGCAAUUGAUUGUUACGAUACAGCCACCAAGAAGAAGGACUGUGUGUCCUGGUAUCAUCAGCUACCUGGAGAAACUCCUAAACUCCUAAUAAUUUGGGCAACAGAGAGCUACUCUGGUGUUCCCUCUAGAAUCAGUGGCAGUCGAGCAGGAAACAAAAUUGACUACACGUUCACUAUUACUGGAGUCCAGCCUGAAGAUUCAGGAGUUUAUUACUGUCAGAGUCAACACUUUCUGAAUAGCACAUUUUCAGUGUUCACACAGUGAGAAAGUGUCAUACAAAAACCUUCUUUAGCUUGACUGCCCCCAGACUACACUGCUGCAGCUGGCCUCUUUAGCAGGUGGUUGAACUCAACAGUUUAUGUGACUGCUUCAUUCUCUCUUUAUAAUGGGUAUAAUAUAGCCUGAAGAUUGAUACACAUAUGAAGAGCAGCACCUGACAUGCCUAUUAAGUAUUAAUCAAAUUUAUCCAUGAGUCAACAGGGUCAUUCUAGUCCAACUCAACUAAGAUCUGCCUGGUCACAUCAAGGGGUUUCCAUGAAACAUUUUAACCAAACAAUACAAUUCAUGCACCCACCCAAAAUUUCAAAGCUGUGUGUCAAAUUGUUUUAGUUCUGAAUUUUUGGUUUAUGUUAAUAGAGUUAAUAUAUUGAAGAAUGUACUUUGUCAGACUGUGCUGUAUGUACAAUACAAAGCAAUGUUGUACAAAAAAUGAGAAGUAUUGUACAGCACUUAUUGAAAUGUGUUGUGUUUAAUUCUGUUUCUUUUCCUCUAGGUAUUGAUAGAAAUGUAAGAUUCUCAAAAUUAAAAUGCCAUGAAUUACACAGGAUAGAUCAUAAAUAAGGCCUAAGCACAUUGGAGCAAGUGCCCUAAAACAAGCUUCCUCAGUAGGGCGUAAGAGAGAAGACAGAUACUUUAUAGGGAGUGAGCGAACUUGUGAACCUUUCAAGGCCAAAAACCGAGAUGGAGAAAUGCCAGCGAUUAUGCUAGAAUGGGUUUGGCACAAUGUUUUUUAAAAAGGAUUCAAACUACACUUGGAGACAGUGGUUCACACAAGACCCUAUUUGAUAGACAUGUGAAGGUCAAUUUGGAUAUAAUGGUGGUUUUGUGAGAUCAGGAGAUGACAAAAAAGAGGUGGGGCGAUGUCACCCCACCUUCACCGAAGGGUACAAAACAUGUGUACAAACUCUGUAUAUCCGGGAGUGUCAUCCAACGGCCUUUGGAAAACAUUCUCCAUGCUCAAGAAAUAAAGGCCCUGCACUUCUGAA